CUACGGGUGGCACCAGUGAGGAAUAUUGUACAAUGGGGGGAACCCUGAUGCAGCAACGCCGCGUGGAGGAUGACGCAUUUCGGUGUGUAAACUCCUUUUAUAUGUCAAGAAAAUGACGGUAGCAUAUGAAUAAGCACCGGCUAACUCCGUGCCAGCAGCCGCGGUAAGUACGGAGGGUGCAAGCGUUACUCGGAAUCACUGGGCGUAAAGGACGCGUAGGCGGGUUGGAAAGUCAGGUGUGAAAUCCUACAGCUUAACUGUAGAACUGCACUUGAAACUUCUAAUCUAGAGUAUGGGAGGGGGAGAUGGAAUUAGUGGUGUAGGGGUAAAAUCCGUAGAUAUCACUAGGAAUACCUAAAGCGAAGGCGAUCUCCUGGAACAUUACUGACGCUAAGGCGUGAAAGCGUGGGGAGCAAACAGGAUUAGAUACCCUCGUAGUC
rnacentral:rRNA from 1 species